rnacentral:rRNA from 1 species
AAUGAACGUUGGCGGCGUGGAUUAGGCAUGCAAGUCGUGCGGAAAGGCUCCUUCGGGAGUACUCGAGCGGCGCAAGGGAGAGUAACGCGUGGAUAUCUACCCCCUGGACUGGGAUAGCGGCGGGAAACUGCCGGUAAUACCAGAUAACGUCUGCGGACCAAAGGUGCGAUUCCGCCGGGGGAUGAGUUCGCGUCCUAUUAGCUAGUUGGUAGGGUAAUGGCCUACCAAGGCAAAGAUGGGUACCGGGUGUGAGAGCAUGGCCCGGCUCACUGGGACGGAGACACUGCCCAGACACCUACGGGUGGCUGCAGUCGAGAAUCUUCGGCAAUGGGCGCAAGCCUGACCGAGCGACGCCGCGUGCGGGAUGAAGGCCUUCGGGUUGUAAACCGCUGUCAGAGGGGAGGAAAUGCAUGGGAGUUCUCUUUCAUGUUUGACCUAUCCUCAGAGGAAGUACGGGCUAAGUUCGUGCCAGCAGCCGCCGUAAAAC